ensembl:lncRNA
CACACAUAAAAACUGCUUUUGGGAAUACAGGACCCAUUCCUGCCAUUUGCUCCAAAAUCAGACAUCAGAAGACUAUAGAGAACGGUUCAGACUGCUGAAAGGAUUAUUGGUGCUCCCCUGCCCACCCUCCAAGAACUGUAUACAUCCAGAGUGAGGAAAAGGGCUCUGGAUCCCUCACAUUCAAGCCAAUCUCCUUUUUGAACUUUUGCCAUCUGGUCAACGCUACAGAGCACUGAAUACCAGGAAAGUCAGGCACAAGAACAGUUUCUUUCCCCAGGCAAUCUACCUCAUGAACAGUUAAAUGUUCUCCCAUUGUGCAAUAAAAGAGCUGGCUCAAGCCCUGCUGUGUUACGCUCAUUUAAAGAGCACAGUGACCCUGGAACUCACAUGGAACAUGGCCCCAUUCAGUGUAAUACAAAACACCCCAACACAAUAUGCAGCUGAAGGUUGUCAACUGAUGUGGUGAGAAUGAGAGAGCGUUUUGACCUAGAUUGUGGCGUGCAGUGAACGUUGUGUUGAGAAGCCAAGGACUUUGAAAUCUUUGAGUACAUGGAGUCUGUAGAAAAAUGAUGUCAGAAGGAUUUAUGAUCCCAAGAACAUGCUGUCCCAGGAAAGCAGUUUUUUCCACACAUCUCUCUCUCUUUCUCUCUCUCUCUCUUCCUUUCUUUCUCUGUGUUUGAGAUGAGCAGGGAGCUGAAUCAAGUCUUUGUCCUUAGCCUAAGACACUGAAGAGGAUUAUCUAUAUGAAGGAGGGUUGCAUCAUAAGGUCCAUCAUGUUGAUGUCGCAUCACCAACCGAAUGCUAUGCUUUAUCCUGGUAGCCCCUCUAAUUUGUGAACAGUGUUAUAAAGUAAAACAAAGCUCUUUUCAUCAGAAAGAUACAACAGCAAAAUAAGAUGAUUACAAUAUAUUCAGUUUCAAGGUCACCCAAGCACCUGAUCUCACCCACUGUCCUGUUAGUGUCUGCUCUUGAACACAUUGCACAGUAGUUUAUUAACAAAAAGUUUAUAUCUACAGGCAAACAAAAAUCAUUCACUUUUACUGAGAAUAUUACAAUAUUCAGUAGUAGCUGACUGGGUUUAAAUGUACAGGUGUCCGUUUCAGGUAAUAACUGUAGUUUGUUUUAGCUAACGGUCAAUUAUAAGCACUUUGAUGCAGUUUCAUGUAUAUAAUUUGAGGAGAACUACUGUAUAUCUAAAACUAUGAUCUGUGACAUAAAAUUAAAUGCUGCCAAAAUGUCCUAAAGUCAACACUUGCUUUGCCAAUAAAGUGUCGUAAUCCUUAUGGGGUUAUGUAAGAUGCAGUCAUUCAGGUGUAUGUCCUAGACAUUCUCAACCUGAAUGAUAGUGUUACCAAUGUUACUGUAAAACAAGACAAGGCUUAUUGAAGUCAACAUAAUGUUUUCCUUCUGACUCAGUUAUUGUGUUACAUAUGAAUAGGUACACUUAUUUUUCAAAGCACUUGGAAGAAAUAAAUGGCUGGUUGUUUUAAUAUUGUGUGUGUAAAGCUCACCUGCAGAACUUUAGCAACAUUAUCAACCCGCAGCAAUAUUAUCUGGCAGAUUGUGGUUGAGAGGAGUGGUUUAAGUUAGGAAUAUCUUGCCUGUGGGUUCUUCUUUCCCAUUCAG